rnacentral:rRNA from 1 species
GUGGGGAAUCUUGCGCAAUGGGCGAAAGCCUGACGCAGCCAUGCCGCGUGAAUGAUGAAGGUCUUAGGAUUGUAAAAUUCUUUCACCGGGGACGAUAAUGACGGUACCCGGAGAAGAAGCUCCGGCUAACUUCGUGCCAGCAGCCGCGGUAAUACGAAGGGGGCUAGCGUUGCUCGGAAUUACUGGGCGUAAAGGGCGCGUAGGCGGACAGCUUAGUCAGAGGUGAAAGCCCAGGGCUCAACCUUGGAAUUGCCUUUGAUACUGGCUGGCUUGAGUUUGGGAGAGGUGAGUGGAACUCCGAGUGUAGAGGUGAAAUUCGUAGAUAUUCGGAAGAACACCAGUGGCGAAGGCGACUCACUGGCCCAAUACUGACGCUGAGGCGCGAAAGCGUGGGGAGCAAACAGGAUUAGAAACCCGAGUAGUCC